AUUAAUUUAUUUUUCAAGUCACUAUUCUUAACAACUUUCAAGUAACUACUUCACGUUUCAAAUAACUAUACUUAAUCAUUUUCAAGUCACUACACUUAAUCAUUCAUUUCAAGUCACUAUACUUAACCACUUUCAAGUAACUAAUUCACAUUUUAAGUAACUACACUUAACUAUUUUCUAGUCACUAGUUCACAAUUUCAAGUAACUACACUUAACCGUUUUCAAGUCACAAGUUUGCAAUUUCAAGUAACUACCCUUAAUCAUUUUCAAGUCACUACACUUAAUAAUUUUCAAAUAACUUAUUCACAUUUCAAGUCACUACACUCAAACCAUGUUCAAAUAGCUAAUUAACAUUUCAAGUCACUAUACUUCACCAUUUUCAACUCUCUAAUUCACAUUUCAAAUGACUAAACCUAACCAUGUUCAAGUCAUGAAUUCACAUUUCAAGUGUCAACACUAAAUCAAUUUCAACUCAUGAAUUCACAUUUUCAAGUGUUUACACUUUACUAAUUUCAAAACACAAGUUCACCUUUCAAGCAAGGACACAAAAUUAUUUUCAAGUCGCUAAGCCACUUCUCAAGUGACUACACUUGAUCAUUUUGAAGUCACUAGUUCACCUUUCAAGUAAUUACACUAAACCAUUUUCAACUCUCCAAUUCACAAUUCAAGCGACUAAACCUAACCAUGUUCAAGUCAUGAAUUCACAUUACAAGUAUCAACACUAAACCAAUUUCAACUCAUGAAUUCACAUUUUCAAGUGUUUACACUUUACUAAUUUCAAAACACAAGUUCACCUUUCAAGUAACUACCUAAACCAUUUUCAAGUCGCUAAUCCACUUCUCAAGUGACUAUAAUUGAUCAUUUUGAAGUCACUAGUAUACAUUUCAAAACACUACACUUACCAUUUUCAAAUAGCUAAUUGACAUUUCAAGUCACUAUACUUCACCAUUUUCAAAACACUACACUUAACCAUUUUCAACUCUCUAAUUCACAUUUCAAAUGACUAAACCUAACCAUGUUCAAGUCAUG
rnacentral:lncRNA from 1 species